UACGGAGGGAGCUAGCGUUAUUCGGAAUUACUGGGCGUAAAGCGCACGUAGGCGGCUUUGUAAGUAAGAGGUGAAAAGCCUGGAGCUCAACUCCAGAACUGCCUUUUAGACUGCAUCGCUUGAAUCCAGGAGAGGUGAGUGGAAUUCCGAGUGUAGAGGUGAAAUUCGUAGAUAUUCGGAAGAACACCAGUGGCGAAGGCGGCUCACUGGACUGGUAUUGACGCUGAGGUGCGAAAGCGUGGGGAGCAAACAGG
rnacentral:rRNA from 1 species